UAGGGAAUAUUGGUCAAUGGAUGCAAGUCUGAACCAGCCAUGCCGCGUGCAGGAAGAAGGCCUUCUGGGUCGUAAACUGCUUUUGCCAGGGGAUAAAAUACCGAUGCGUCGGUAAUUGAAGGUACCUGGUGAAUAAGCCACGGCUAACUACGUGCCAGCAGCCGCGGUAAUACGUAGGUGGCAAGCGUUGUCCGGAUUUAUUGGGUUUAAAGGGUGCGUAGGCGGUCCUAUAAGUCAGUGCUGAAAUAUCCCGGCUUAACCGGGAGGGUGGCAUUGAUACUGCAGGACUUGAGUGGAGUUGAGGUAAGCGGAAUUGACGGUGUAGCGGUGAAAUGCUUAGAUAUCGUCAAGAACACCUAUUGCGAAGGCAGCUUACUAAGCUCUAACUGACGCUGAGGCACGAAAGUGUGGGGAUCAAACAGG
rnacentral:rRNA from 1 species